rnacentral:rRNA from 1 species
UACGUAGGUGGCAAGCGUUGUCCGGAUUUAUUGGGUUUAAAGGGUGCGUAGGCGGUUCUGUAAGUCAGUGGUGAAAUACUCUAGCUUAACUAGAGGGGUGCCAAUGAUACUGCAGAACUUGAGUACAGAUGAGGUAGGCGGAAUUGACGGUGUAGCGGUGAAAUGCAUAGAUAUCGUCAAGAACACCGAUAGCGAAGGCAGCUUACUGGGCUGUAACUGACGCUGAGGCACGAAAGUGUGGGGAGCAAACAGG